AGAAAAAAAUAGCAGUAGUUAAAUGACUGGGCACCCAAACGGUGCUUUGAAGAACUAAAAAAACUGAAUAAAAUAGCUAAUAAUCAAAAGCCAGAAAUGAAACGACAGAAUACUAAAAAAAUAGGCCUGAGUUCCCCUUCUCUCUGUUGCUUGAGAAAUCCCUCGUGUACCAGCCAAAUGAAGAACGAUUCUUCUCCAAAAAGAUCAACCAUUGAAAUCUCAGUCUCCAUUGAAAUAGCGAGUUAUUUGGACUGACCCACUAUCACAAGGUCCGGACUCUAUUUUACCAGUUAACCACCAUCAUCUAUUCUUCCUCUAUCGUGAUCUAUCAGCCCAACCACCGCAGCCGGAGCCUCCUCUAUCCAGUAUUGGGGGUUCUUGCGUUGUCUUCCCUCUUGCACCAUUCCAUGAGCCGUUUUAUUGGCCUCCCUAGGUACAUAUUUAAAACUCAGGCUUCUGAAUUUGUGUUUUCUCCCUUUUAUUUCUUCAGUCAGGCUAUUGAUGUUCGACUUAUCUUCUACGGAAGAGUUUAGUUUACGUAUUAUGGUCAAUGCAUCUCCUUCCAUAAUAAUAUCUUGGAAGCCCAUUUCCUCUGCCAUAGUGACUACUUGCAAACACGCCCUUGCCUCCGCCAUAACUGGGUCCGGAAUGUUCUCCCGUGGAAAGGUGCAUGCAGCCAUUACUAGCCCUUCUUUAUUUCGCGCUAAAAUUCCUAAAAUUUGAGCUUCAUGUGUGCUGAUUGAAUGAUGUAUCAAAAUUGAUUUUGAUAAUAUCAUCAUUUGGAGGUUCCCAAGUAGCUUUGUCAACACCGUUUGCAUUUAAUAUCUGUCCCAUAAAAUUAAUUUCCGCAUGUGCAAUCCCUGAACAAAUGGCUUACCGUUUCCUCAUCUGUUUGACACACUGGGCAAAUUUUCUUAGUUCCCAAUUUUCGAAGACUUAGGUUGUAUAAAGUGGGCAAGAAUUCAUUUGUUAUUCGCCACAUAAGAAUGCAAAUUUUGCUUGGUAUCUUGAGCCCCCAUAGCUUUGUAUAGAAAGUAGUAGGACUAUCAGUAUAUAAUCUAGGAUUCCCCGUUGUAUUAAUCCAUUUGUAACCACUUUUAACUGUGUAAGUCCCGGUAUUAUCCCUUUGCCAAAUUAGUUGAUCGUGUGGUUUGCUGCUCACUAGGGGAAUUGAGAGGAUGCUCUUCGGUUGCUCCUCUCCGAAUAAGGAUCUGAUGGUGUCCUGUUUCCAGGCAUCGGUAACCAGUUAUCGUUCCAGAUGUUUAUUGAUUCCCCGUUCCCAACUCGCCACCCCAUACCCUCUAUAAGGAUUUGUCUUGCACCCCAAAUUCUUCGCCAGGUAAACGAAGGGUAAGAUCCUAAUUCAGCACUCAUAAAAUCCCCCUUUGGAAAAUAUUUUGCUUUCAUUACUCGCGCAAAUAGACACUGAGGCUGCGUAAUAAUUUUCCAACCCUCUUUCGCUAGCAAGGCCAAAUUAACAUUUUUUAAAUCUUUAAAACCAAGACCUCCUUUCGCUUUGGGGAUACAUAAAUCACUCCACUUGCACUAAUGUAUGCCUUUAUUGGUUUUUGAAUUACGCCACUAGAAUUUACUCAUAAUAA